UCUACGCCGUAAACGAUGGAUACUAGUUGUUGGAGGUCUCAACCCCUUCAGUGACGACGCUAACGCAUUAAGUAUCCCGCCUGGGGAGUACGAUCGCAAGAUUAAAACUCAAAGGAAUAGACGGGGACCCACACAAGCGGUGGAGCAUCUGGCUUAAUUCGAUAAUGAGCGAGGAACCUUACCUAGGUUUGACAUCCCGAGAAUUUUCCGGAAACGGAAAAGUGCCUUACGGAACUCGGUGACAGGUGCUGCAUGGUUGUCGUCAGCUCGUGCCUUGAGGUGUUCGGUUAAGUCCGUAAACGAGCGCAACCCAUGUCCUGUGUUGUAUUUUUCACAGGAGACUGCCGAUUCAAAAUCGGAGGAAGGUAUGGAUGACGUCAAAUCAGCAUGGCCCUUAUGCCUAGGGCUGCACAGGUGCUACA
rnacentral:rRNA from 1 species